rnacentral:rRNA from 1 species
AUUGAACGCUGGCGGCAUGAUUUACACAUGCAAGUCGAACGGUAACAGGCCGCAAGGUGCUGACGAGUGGCGAACGGGUGAGUAAUGCAUCGGAACGUGCCCAGUCGUGGGGGAUAACUACUCGAAAGAGUAGCUAAUACCGCAUACGAUCUAUGGAUGAAAGCGGGGGACCGUAAGGCCUCGCGCGAUUGGAGCUGCCGAUGUCAGAUUAGGUAGUUGGUGGGGUAAAGGCUCACCAAGCCAACGAUCUGUAGCUGGUCUGAGAGGACGACCAGCCACACUGGGACUGAGACACGGCCCAGACUCCUACGGGAGGCAGCAGUGGGGAAUUUUGGACAAUGGGCGCAAGCCUGAUCCAGCAAUGCCGCGUGCAGGAAGAAGGCCUUCGGGUUGUAAACUGCUUUUGUACGGAACGAAACGGCUCUGGUUAAUACCCGGGGCUAAUGACGGUACCGUAAGAAUAAGCACCGGCUAACUACGUG